UGCCAGCAGCCGCGGUAAUACGAAGGGUGCUAGCGUUGUUCGGAAUUACUGGGCGUAAAGCGCGCGUAGGCGGCUUGGUCAGUUGGGUGUGAAAUCCCCGGGCUUAACCUGGGAACUGCAUUCAAUACUGCCAGGCUGGAGUAUGGGAGAGGGUAGUGGAAUUCCACGUGUAGCGGUGAAAUGCGUAGAUAUGUGGAGGAACACCCGUGGCGAAGGCGACUGCCUGGCCCAAUACUGACGCUGAGGUGCGAAAGCAUGGGGAGCAAACAGGAUUAGAUA
rnacentral:rRNA from 1 species